rnacentral:rRNA from 1 species
CAGUAGCCGCGGGAAUACGGAGGGAGCUAGCGUUGUUCGGAAUUACUGGGCGUAAAGCGCACGUAGGCGGCUUUGUAAGUUAGAGGUGAAAGCCUGGAGUUCAACUCCAGAACUGUCUUUAAGACUGCAUCGCUUGAAUCCAGGAGAGGUGAGUGGAAUCCCGAGUGUAGAGGUGAAAUUCGUAGAUAUUCGGAAGAACACCAGUGGCGAAGGCGGCUCACUGGACUGGUAUUGACGCUGAGGUGCGAAAGCGUGGGGAGCAAACAGGAUUAGAUACCCCCGUAGUCCCUGUCUCUUAUAC